rnacentral:rRNA from 1 species
UACGUAGGGUGCGAGCGUUAAUCGGAAUUACUGGGCGUAAAGCGUGCGCAGGCGGUUCGUUGUGUCGGCGGUGAAAGACCCGGGCUCAACCUGGGAAUGGCCGUUGAAACUGGCGAACUGGAGUGUGGCAGAGGGGGGUGGAAUUCCGCGUGUAGCAGUGAAAUGCGUAGAGAUGCGGAGGAACACCGAUGGCGAAGGCAGCCCCCUGGGCUGACACUGACGCUCAGGCACGAAAGCGUGGGGAGCAAACAGG